GCUUAUAUAAAACCAAGAAAUUGUUUAUAUUUUUGUUGCUUUUUCCCUUGUAAAUUAAUUAUAUAUAUAUUACAGUCUGGGGAGUCAGCACCCUGCUGAAUUGUAGUAAACGGGACGUCCAAUCUACUAGACCAUCAAAGAUGCAGAUUUGGAUUUUCUAUUUCAUAGUUAUUGAAAUCAUAAUGAGAAUGAAGUACUGCCACUAAGGUAAAGGUGCUAACUUGCAAGGAGCUGUUCUCAAAACAUUGGGUGACAAAGAAUUCACUUUUACAAAAAUCGAGCAGGAUAUUAAAGACAGCGAACUAUGGAAAAAAUAUGGCGAAGCUACAUGAAGUCUAUGUGGAAUUUUAUUAUUGAAAAAAAUAUGCUCUUCAGAUUUAAUGUUAGUUUUUAUUGUUUAACAGUAAUUGCAGUUUUCGAAUACCUGUAAAAUAAACCUAAUUCUUAAAUUAA